ACGAACGCUGGCGGCGUGCUUAACCCAUGCCAGUCGCACGGAAAGGCCCUGCUUUUGUGGGGUGCCCGAGUGGCGAACGGGUGAGUAACACGUGAGUAACCUGCCCUUGACUUUGGGAUAACUUCAGGAAACUGGGGCUAAUACCGGAUAGGAGCUCCUGCUGCAUGGUGGGGGUUGGAAAGUUUCGGCGGUUGGGGAUGGACUCGCGGCUUAUCAGCUUGUUGGUGGGGUAGUGGCUUACCAAGGCUUUGACGGGUAGCCGGCCUGAGAGGGUGACCGGCCACAUUGGGACUGAGAUACGGCCCAGACUCCUACGGGAGGCAGCAGUGGGGAAUAUUGCACAAUGGGCGGAAGCCUGAUGCAGCAACGCCGCGUGCGGGAUGACGGCCUUCGGGUUGUAAACCGCUUUCGCCUGUGACGAAGCGUGAGUGACGGUAAUGGGUAAAGAAGCACCGGCUAACUACGUG
rnacentral:rRNA from 1 species